GGAGACGGCGCGGUGAGAGGCCCCCGCAAUGCUCCCCCUGUCCGGCUGGCAGACCCCAGGACCGAACCCCCUGCCCUGAGGCACACAGGAAGCCGAGCUUCUGGCGCCCCCUGCUGGCCACUAGGAGUGACUGUCAGAAGGCCUCCAGCAUCUUGAGGAAGAGGUGGGUGGUCUCCACCAGGUCCCGCAGGAAGCAGCGGGGCUGGCGGGUCUCCUGGAACUUGCGGAAGAGAGCGAGGAAGAGCUCCCGGUACUCCAUCAGGAGCAUGGCCUCGUAGUAGGCGGUGAGGUUCUGCUCGAUGAAGUGGAAGGCGCGGACGCUGACCGUCUCGGACACCAGCUCGGGCCGGAAGCGCCGGCCGCGGUUGAAGGCCAUGAAGAAGGCCAUGGCCCACAGAAAUGGAUGAAUCCAGCCAGCUUCCAACCCAGGAGUGCAGCUGGGGGGGCGCCCUCCUGUCUCAGGCCCCCUGCUCCCCACCCGGGCU